GACGAACGCUGGCGGCGUGCCUAAUACAUGCAAGUCGAACGAGAGCAACUGGUGCUUGCACUGGUCAAUCUAGUGGCGAACGGGUGAGUAACACGUGGGUAACCUGCCCAUCAGAGGGGGAUAACAUCCGGAAACGGAUGCUAAAACCGCAUAGGUCUUCGAACCGCAUGGUUUGAAGAGGAAAAGAGGCGCAAGCUUCUGCUGAUGGAUGGACCCGCGGUGCAUUAGCUAGUUGGUGAGGUAACGGCUCACCAAGGCCGUGAUGCAUAGCCGACCUGAGAGGGUGAUCGGCCACAUUGGGACUGAGACACGGCCCAAACUCCUACGGGAGGCAGCAGUAGGGAAUCUUCCGCAAUGGACGCAAGUCUGACGGAGCAACGCCGCGUGAGUGAAGAAGGUUUUCGGAUCGUAAAACUCUGUUGUUAGAGAAGAACAAGUGCUAGAGUAACUGUUAGCGCCUUGACGGUAUCUAACCAGAAAGCCACGGCUAACUACGUG
rnacentral:rRNA from 1 species